rnacentral:lncRNA from 1 species
GGUAGGCACGAGUAAUAUAUAAUCACACCCCACACACAGAAAUGCAGACUGUGUUAAGUAGGUCCCUGUAUUGGAUUAAGAAUGUACUUUAUUGCUGCUUCUGACCAAAGGACAAUGGUGGUGGUUGCCCACCUUCGGGUUGAAAGCCUCGAAAAUUAUUUUUGUAGUUCUGCUAAAUCCAUGUAAGUGUGAGCGCCCAGCUCCUCUGCCCAUAGAUUGGAGAAGUGAAAAGCAAGAGCUGGUGGAAAAGGUCACACUUCAGUCAGAGCUGUGGCUCUUGGCUAUGAACAGAGGUCCAACCAGGCUCUCUUCUGCUUUCCUUCUCCCUAUGCACAUGGAUGAGUGGAAACUCUUCCAACCCAGGAAGCUCAGCUCAACUUCUGCCUCCUGGUCCAGCUGCUCCAGAAACAAGUCCAUUGAGGAUCCUGGCCACAAGAUGCUCUGUCGCUUUAAAGGGAAAUCUAAAAGGGGAAUCUAUCACAACAAAAACUUUCAAGAAUCCACAAAUACAGAUCUGUUUGACUCUAGACCUCAUUCCUCCAAAAUCUGGUUUAGGAUACCCUUAAAGACUGUUAGAAAGAAAUGCCAGGAUGAAAUUUUAGAAAUGAAAG